CCUACGGGAGGCUGCAGUGGGGAAUAUUGCACAAUGGGGGAAACCCUGAUGCAGCGACGCCGCGUGAGUGAAGAAGUAAUUCGUUAUGUAAAGCUCUAUCAGCAGGGAAGAAAAUGACGGUACCUGACUAAGAAGCCCCGGCUAACUACGUGCCAGCAGCCGCGGUAAUACGUAGGGGGCGAGCGUUAUCCGGAUUCACUGGGUGUAAGGGGAGCGUAGACGGCCAUGCAAGCCAGGGGUGAAAGCCCGGGGCCCAACCCCGGGACUGCCCUUGGAACUGCAUGGCUGGAGUGCGGGAGGGGCAGGCGGAAUGCCUGGUGUAGCGGUGAAAUGCGUAGAUAUCAGGAGGAACACCGGCGGCGAAGGCGGCCUGCUGGACCGCGACUGACGUUGAGGCUCGAAAGCGUGGGGAGCGAACAGGAUUAGAUACCCCAGUAGUC
rnacentral:rRNA from 1 species